rnacentral:rRNA from 1 species
GACGAACGCUGGCGGCGUGCUUAACACAUGCAAGUCGAACGAAGUGGCGAACGGGUGCGUAAUGCGUGGGUAUCCCGCCCUCCUUUAUGGGAUAAGCCUUGGAAACGGGGAUUAAUACAGAAAUAAGGGGGAUGGGCUCGCGGCCUAUCAGCUUGUUGGUGGGGUGAUGGCCUUACAAGGCGGUGCCGGGUAGCCGGCCUGAGAGGCUGAGCGGCCACUGUGGGACUGACGUGCGGCCCACAGUCGUACGGGGGGGGGCAGUGUGGGAUAUUGCACACUGGGCGACAGCUUGAUGCAGCGACGACGAGGGGGGGAUUAAGGCUUUCGUGUUGUAAACCUCUUUCGCUAGCGAACGGGUAGGUGGAGAGGAAGCGCCGGCUAACUACGUGCCAGCAGCCGCGGUAAUAC